CCCUUAGAUGUUCUGGGCUGCACGCGUGCUACACUGAUAUUGCCAAUAUGUCAUUCUUAUCCGAAAUGGAUUGGGUAAUCAAGUAAUGAAAUUUCAUGCUUGGAAUCGGUAAUUGCAAUUUUAUCGUGAACGAGGGAUUCCUAGUAAGCACUAGUCAUCAGCUAAUGUUGAUUAUGUCCCUGCCCUUUGUACACACCGCCCGUCGCUACUACUGAUUGGGUGUUCAAGUGAGAUGCUUAGACCCUUGUUGCAUGGUUCAUUAUUGUGCUCCGAAAGGAAAAAGUUUCAAGCUUGAGUGUCUAGAGGAAGUAAAAGUCGUAACA
rnacentral:rRNA from 1 species